UACGUAGGUGGCGAGCGUUGUCCGGAUUUACUGGGCGUAAAGGGAGCGUAGGCGGAUUUUUAAGUGAGAUGUGAAAUACUCGGACUCAACUUGAGUGCUGCAUUUCAAACUGGAAGUCUAGAGUGCAGGAGAGGAGAAUGGAAUUCCUAGUGUAGCGGUGAAAUGCGUAGAGAUUAGGAAGAACACCAGUGGCGAAGGCGAUUCUCUGGACUGUAACUGACGCUGAGGCUCGAAAGCGUGGGGAGCAAACAGG
rnacentral:rRNA from 1 species